rnacentral:rRNA from 1 species
GUCCACACCUUAAACGAUGAAUACUUGGUGUCGGGUCGAAAGGCUCGGUGCCAAAGCUAACGCAUUAAGUAUUCCACCUGGGGAGUACGAUCGCAAGGUUGAAACUCAAAGGAAUUGACGGGGCCCGCACAAGCAGUGGAGCAUGUGGUUCAAUUCGAUGCAACGCGAAGAACCUUACCUGGGUUUGAAAGGCAAGAUUCUAGUCCCUGAAAGGGGAUUACCCGCAAGGGGUCUUGUACAGGUGCUGCAUGGCUGUCGU